rnacentral:rRNA from 1 species
AUUGAACGCUGGCGGAAUGCUUUACACAUGCAAGUCGAACGGCAGCACGGACUUCGGUCUGGUGGCGAGUGGCGAACGGGUGAGUAAUACAUCGGAACGUGCCCAGUCGUGGGGGAUAACGUAGCGAAAGCUACGCUAAUACCGCAUACGAUCUAAGGAUGAAAGCGGGGGAUCGCAAGACCUCGCGCGAUUGGAGCGGCCGAUGGCGGAUUAGGUAGUUGGUGGGGUAAAGGCUCACCAAGCCGACGAUCUGUAGCUGGUCUGAGAGGACGACCAGCCACACUGGGACUGAGACACGGCCCAGACUCCUACGGGAGGCAGCAGUGGGGAAUUUUGGACAAUGGGCGCAAGCCUGAUCCAGCCAUUCCGCGUGCAGGAUGAAGGCCCUCGGGUUGUAAACUGCUUUUGUACGGAACGAAAAGGCUCUGGUUAAUACCCGGGGCUCAUGACGGUACCGUAAGAAUAAGCACCGGCUAACUACGUGCCAGCAGCCGCGGUAA